rnacentral:lncRNA from 1 species
CCUCAUUGGCUUAUAAAACCUUGGCUGGGUGUUCCUUUGGCUUGCACUGAAGCAGAAAAAAUAGUUUUGCAACAUGUGGGACUGAAGUUCUUACUCUGCUAUUUGCUAGGAAUUUAUUUGCUAAAAAGAAAUUCAAUGCAGGCUUUUCUGAUAGCAAACAAAAAUAUAUGUCUCGCUUAAGUUUCCCCAGAUGAAUUGUAAAAUAUAACUUAAUAUGCACAUGCAUCUGUUCUGUGGAAACUACAGACAGGAGGAAAAUUAUAUACCUGACCUGCUCUAGGAUUACAAGAGCCCCCAUUCCUGUUACACGACAGAGGUCAGAAUUUACUGGCAUCAGCGGCAGCUGCUACAGAGAGCAAAGCACUGAGCUCUGGUUGCCUUUUGAGAAAAGGACUUCUCCUGCUGGCUUUUUUUUAUCUGAAGAGGGCAUCACUUCCUUCAGGAUGUCAGCUGAUAUCCUGGCAGAUCUUUCUCAAACUGUGAUGUGAACUGGCAAGUGGGCUGCCAAGAGUGAGAUGAAAGAGCACGACAGAGACUCCAGAGUAUGGCAGGGUUUGAUGGCAGCGGGGCCGUUUCCGCACCGCACUGCCCGGGUGGUGAUGAUGUGUGAAAUAGUGUCCUCUGCUGCACGAACCGACACAGUGCGCCUGCC